GUGGGGAAUCUUGCGCAAUGGGCGAAAGCCUGACGCAGCCAUGCCGCGUGAAUGAUGAAGGUCUUAGGAUUGUAAAAUUCUUUCACCGGGGACGAUAAUGACGGUACCCGGAGAAGAAGCCCCGGCUAACUUCGUGCCAGCAGCCGCGGUAAUACGAAGGGGGCUAGCGUUGCUCGGAAUUACUGGGCGUAAAGGGCGCGUAGGCGGACAGUUUAGUCAGAGGUGAAAGCCCAGGGCUCAACCGUGGAAUUGCCUUUGAUACUGGGUGUCUUGAGUACGGGAGAGGUGAGUGGAACUCCGAGUGUAGAGGUGAAAUUCGUAGAUAUUCGGAAGAACACCAGUGGCGAAGGCGACUCACUGGCCCGUUACUGACGCUGAGGCGCGAAAGCGUGGGGAGCAAACAGGAUUAGAUACCCGAGUAGUCC
rnacentral:rRNA from 1 species